GAAGUUGGAAUCGCUAGUAAUCGCAGAUCAGCAUGCUGCGGUGAAUACGUUCCCGGGCCUUGUACACACCGCCCGUCACACCAUGGGAGUUGGUUCUACCCGAAGCCGGUGCGCUAACCUUAGGGAAGCAGCCGACCACGGUAGGGUCAGCGACUGGGGUGAAGUCGUAACAAGGUAGCCGUAGGGGAACCUGCGGCUGGAUCACCUCCUUUCUAAGG
rnacentral:rRNA from 1 species